rnacentral:lncRNA from 1 species
CCAUAGAGGGCACAUGUUCCCUAAUUGGCCUAGAGCAUACUGGCUCAUUAUCCUUCCACCGCUGGUGGCGGGCGGUACUCGCUGCUCUGUGAAGCCAGCCUCACGCAAUGUCCGCCACUUUAGGUAUUAGGAUGCAAAGGCAUUCGCCAAGGCACCCGAAACCCACUACACAACUUGGAAUGGGUGGUCCACAGUUUGUAGCACUAGACCCAAGCACAUGCACCACAAUUGACAUCCACACUUCCUUAUUGCCCCCGCUCGGGUUACAAGCAAUCGCUACUUGCUCAGCGAGUGAGGGGGUUCAGGACUGCCUAUUUAAGGUGGUGUUGUACUCUAUGAAGCGGUGAUGUGGUAUUAACCAACAACAAAUAGUGUGUAGUCUAGAAAUUUUUUAUGUGUUUCCUCUUCCCUAUGAAGUGGAAAGUGGGUGCGUCAGAGAAGUAAGAAAGAGUGGCUAGCAUUGAUUUUACGUCAUCCCCUUGAGAACAUUAAUCAAAAGCAGAAGCAACAAUAUUUGAUACAUAUACAACACAUGUAAUCCAUAUAAACAAUUUUCCUUCAAAAAUAAUAUAAACCACAUGAUUAUAUCUUAGGUCGGUCAUAUCCACAAAGGGCAAGGACACGCACCUAAGUUUGUAGUUUAGAACUAAGAGUGUCUGCUCUCACGAUUUCUUCCCGACCUAUGCAAACUGGACACUGAUCACGUAAAGUAAAGACAUAUGUGGUAACAUGAACCUAUAGCAUGUAUUUCAACCUAUAGAUUGUUGAUUAUUAUGGUAGAUUAUAUAAUAUAGGGAUUCCCGAAGAAAUACAUAAAAACGAGAGAAUUAAAUUUUCCUUUUCAGAUUUGGCUAACUGGUAAAAGGAGUUGGAGUAUCUGAGUUUCCAAAUUUGGGACGUAGAUGUAUAGAAGGAAUAUAAAUACGUUGGAAAUUUUUCUACAAGGCAAGGUUUAACACAAGUUGGGACAAGAAAAAACCAAUGAGGCUUUGAUCGCAUGGUCACAAAACUAGAGACAAGAAACAUGAAGAAACCAAGGUAAUUAGUAUGAGAGUUUUCCAAAUUUGGUGUCUUGAUGUAGAAAAAUAAAUAUAUGAUAAACAUGUUUUUCUACAAGGCAUGGUAUAAUAAGUGGGAGUGAGUAAUAAAUUUCAUCAUAGAUUUAGAAGGAAGAAUUAUAUCACUAAAUAUGUUCUUUCAUAAUGCCAAGUUAAGUAGGUGGGGCCGAGAAAUCAAUUCUUGCGAGGCUUGGUUGUACUAGCCCCAAACUAGAUACAGCAGAGGAAAAAUAAAAAAAAUGUUGGUCUACCAAAUAUGGCGCAUGAGCCUUAAGGUGGACCUGGAGGGAAGUAGAAGAAAUAAAUAUAUAACUGAAUAUGUUUUUCGCAAUGCAAGGUAAAGUGUAGAUGCGCUCUAACUAGGCUUAGAUUGCAGUGACACGUUAUCCUUCCACAAGGCUUGGUUGCACAAUGAAAAAAAGGUAAAGAGAAAAAUGUAGACGUAGGAUGGGUUGAAAACAUUCAAUGAGGCAUGAUUGCACGGACAUAGAACUAGAUAGAAGAAAAGACUUAAAUAAAAAUAAAGGAAGUAAAUUUUCUUUUGCACACUAAGCAUGAAUGGAGUUGUAGUAUCUGAGAUCCCAAAUUUAAUUUGUUCCAAGAUGUAGAACAAAAUUGCAAGACUCAUAAUGAUUACAUAGGGACAAAAGUAGUUAAGAAAAAUAGCAAAAAGAUAGUGGUCUACCAUAGAGGGCACAUGUUCCCUAAUUGGCCUAGAGCAUAGCGGCUCAUUAUCCUUCCACCGCUGGUGGCGGGCGGUACUCGCUGCUCUGUGAAGCCAGCCUCAUGCAAUGUCCGCCACUUUAGGUGUUAGGAUGCAAAGGCAUUCGCCAAGGCACCCGAAACCCACUACACAACUUGGAAUGGGUGGUCCACAGUUUGUAGCACUAGACUCAAGCACAUGCACCACUAUUGACAUCCACACUUCCUUAUUGCCCCCGCUCUGGUUACAAGCAAUCGCUACUUGCUCAACGAGUGAGGGGGUUCAGGACUACCUAUUUAAGGUGGUGUUGUACUCUAUGAGGCGGCGAUGUGGUAUUAACCAACAACAAAUAGUGUCAUGCAUGUGAGUUGCUAGUUGGCAGAGUCUGUUGUUGACCUAGCUAUGGGUUGUGGCUGAAGCACAUGACGAUAGAGUAGGCCUAUUAUGUUUUGUUGAUUUUGGGCCUUUGUGGACUUUAUGCUGAUGUCCAGAAUUUUUUUAUGUGUUUCCUCUUCCCUAUGAAGUGAAAAGUGGGUGCGUCAAAGAAGAAAGAAAGAGUGGCUAGCAUUGAUUUUACGUCAUCCCCUUGAGAACAUUAAUCAAAAGCAGAAGCAACAAUAUUUGAUACAUAUGCAACACAUGUAAUCCAUAUAAACAACUUUCCUUCAAAAAUAAUAUAAACCACAUGAUUAUAUCUUAGGUCGGUCAUAUCCACAAAGGGCAAGGACACGCACCUAAGUUUGUAGUUUAGAACUAAGAGUGUCUACUCUCACGAUUUCUUCCCGACAUAUGUAAACUGUACACUGAUCACGUAAAGUAAAGACAUAUGUGGUAACACGAACCUAUAGCAUGUAUUUCAACCUAUAGAUUGUUGAUUAUUAUGGUAGAUUAUAUAAUAUAGGGAUUCCCGAAGAAAUACGUAAAAACGAGAGAAUUAAAUUUUCCUUUUCAGAUUUGGCUAACUGGUAAAAGGAGUUGGAGUAUCUAAGUUUCCAAAUUUGGGAUGUAGAUGUAUAGAAGGAAUAUAAAUAUGUUGGAAAUUUUUCUACAAGGCAAGGUUUAACACAAGUUGGGACAAGAAAAAAGCAAUGAGGAUUUGAUUGCAUGGUCACAAAACUAGAGACAAGAAACAUGAAGAAACCAACGUAAUUAGUAUGAGAGUUUUCCAAAUUUGGUGUCUUGAUGUAGAAAAAAUAAAUAUAUGACAAACAGGUUUUUUGCAAGGCAUGGUAAAAUAUGUGGUUGUGAGCAAUGAAUUUCGUCCUAGAUUUAGAAGGAAUAAAUAUAUCACCAUAUAUGUUUUUUCAUAAUGCCAAGUUAAGCAUGUGGGACCGAGAAAAUAAUUCUAGCGAGGCUAGGUUGUACUAGCCCAAAACUAUAUACAACUAAGGAAAAAUAAAAAAUGAUGGUCUACCAAAUAUGGCGCAUGAGCCUUAAGGUGGACCUAGAGGGAAGUAGAAGAAAUAAAUAUAUAACAGAAUAUGUUUUCACAAUGUAAGGUAAAGUGUAGAUGUGCUCUAACUGGGCUUAGAUUGCAGCGACAUGUAAUCCAUCCACAAGGCUUGGUUGCACAUGGAAAAAUAUAGAGAGAGAAAUGUAGACGUAGGACCAAGAGAAAAACAAUCAAUGAGGCGUGAUUGCAUGAACAUAUAACUAGAUAGAAGAAAAGAGUUAAAGAAAAAUAAAGGAACUAAAUUUUCUUUUGCACACUUACCAUGAAUGGAGCUGUAGUAUCUGUGAUCUCAAUUUUAAUUUAUUCCAAGAUGCAGAAUUAUGUUGCGAGACUCGUAAUGGUUACAUAGGGAUAAAAGUAGAUAAGAAAAAUAGCAAAAAGAUAGUGGUCUACCAGAGAGGGCACAUGUGCCCUAAUUGGCCUACAGCAUAGCGGCUCAUUAUCCUUCCACCGCUGGUGGAGGGUGGUACUCGCUGCUCUGUGAAGUCAACCUCAUGCAAUGUCCGCCACUUUAGGUGUUGGGAUGCAAAGGCUUUUGCCAAGGCACACGAAACCCACGACAGAACUUGGAAUGGGUGGUCCACAUUUUGUAGCACUAGACCCAGGCUCAUGCACCACAAUUGACAUCCACACUACCGUAUUGCCCCCUCUCAGGUUACAAGCAAUCGCUACUUGCUCAGCGAGUGAGGGGGUUUAGGACUGCCUAUUUAAGGUGGUUUUGUAAUCUAUGAGCCGAUGUUGUGGUAUUUACCAACAACAAAUAGUAUCAUGCAUGUGAGUUGCUAGUUGGCAAAGUCUGUUGUCGAGCUAGCUAUGGGCUAUGGCAAAAGCACAUUAGGAUAGAAUAGACCAAUUCUAUUUUUUUGUUGUUUUUGGGCCAUUAUGGACUUUAUGUUGAUGUUGUCCUAAUUUUUCAUGUGUUUCCUCUUGCCUAUGAAGUGGAAAGUGGGUGCGUCAGAGAAGAAAGAAAGAGUGGCUAGCAUUCAUUUUACGUCAUCCCCUUAACGACAGUAACCAAAAGCAGAAGCAACAAUAUUUCAUACAUAUACAACACUUGUAAUCCAUAUAAACAACUUUCCUUCAAAAAAUAAUAUAAACCACAUGAUUUAUAUCUUGUGUCAGUCAUCUCCUCAAAGGGAAGGGAAACACUCCUAGGUUUGUAGUAUAGAACUAAGAGUGUCUACUCUCACGAUUUUUUCCCAACAUAUGCAAACUAGACACUAAUCACAUAAAGUAAAGACAUGUGUGGUAACAUGAGCUUAUAACAUGUAAACCUAUAGAUUGUUGAUUAUUAUGGUAGAUUAUAUAAUAUAGGGUUUCCUAGAGAAAUACGUAAAAACAAUAGAAUUAAAAUUUCCUCUUCAGAUUUGGCUAACUUGUAAAAGGAGUUGGAGUAUCUGAGUUUCCAAAUUUGGGACGUAGAUGUAUAGAAGGAAUAUAAAUACAUUGGAAAAAUUCAACAACGUAAGGUCUAACACAAGUAGGGCUAAGAAAAAAUAAAUGAGCCUUUGGUCGCAUGAUCAUAAAACUAGAGACAAGAAACACAAAGAAACCAAGGUAAUUAGUAUGAGAGUUUUCCAAUGUAGAAAAAAUAAAUAUAUGAUAAACAUGUUUCUUUUGCAAGGCAUGGUAAAAUAAGUGGGAGUGAGCAAUAAAUUUCAUCAUAGAUUUAGAAGGAAUAAAUAUAUCAAUAAAUAUGUUUCACAAUGCCAAGUUAAGUAGGUGGGACCGAGAAAACAAUUCUAGCGAGGCUUGGUUGUACCAACCUGGAACUAGAUACAACAGAGGAAAAAUGAAAAAAAAUGAUGGUCUACCAAAUAUGGCGCAUGAGCCUUAAGGUGGACCUAGAGGGAAGUAUUAGAAAUAAAUAUAUAACUGAAUAUGUUUUUCGCAAUGCAAGGUAAAGUGUUGAUGUGCUCUAACUGGGCUUAGAUUGCAGCGACAAGUUAUCCAUCCACAAGGUUUGGUUGCACAUGGAAAACGAUGGAGAGAGAAAUGUUUACGCAGGACUAGGAGAAAAAAACAUUCAAUGAGGUGUGAUUGCGCAGACAUAGAACUAGAUAGAUGUAAAGAUUAAAGAAAAAUAAAGGGACUAAAUUUUCUUUAGCACACUUAGCAUGAAUGGAGUUGUAGUAUCUGAUAUCCCAAAUUUAAUUUGUUCUAGGAUGCAGAAGAAAUUGCAAGACUCGUAAUGAUUACAUAGGGACAAAAGUAGGUAAGAAAAAUAGCAAAAAGAUAGUGGUCUAUGAAAGAGGGCACUUGUGCCUUAAUUGUCCUAGAGCAUAGCGGCUCAUUAUCCUUCCACCGCUGGUGGUGGGCGGUACUCGCUUCUCAGUGAAGCCAGCCUCACGCAAUGUCCACCACUUUAGGUGUUGGGAUGCAAAGGCUUUCGCCAAGGCACCCGAAAGCCACUACACAACUUUGAAUGGGUGGUUCGCAGUUUGUAGGACUAGACCCAGGCACAUGCUCCACAAUUGACAUCCACACUAUCUG